rnacentral:rRNA from 1 species
ACGUACACUCCUGCGGGAGGCAGCAGUGGGGAAUAUUGGACAAUGGGCGCAAGCCUGAUCCAGCCAUGCCGCGUGAGUGAUGAAGGCCCUAGGGUUGUAAAGCUCUUUCACCGGUGAAGAUAAUGACGGUAACCGGAGAAGAAGCCCCGGCUAACUUCGUGCCAGCAGCCGCGGUAAUACGAAGGGGGCUAGCGUUGUUCGGAUUUACUGGGCGUAAAGCGCACGUAGGCGGACUAUUCAGUCAGGGGUGAAAUCCCGGGGCUCAACCCCGGAACUGCCUUUGAUACUGGUAGUCUUGAGUUCGAGAGAGGUGAGUGGAAUUCCGAGUGUAGAGGUGAAAUUCGUAGAUAUUCGGAGGAACACCAGUGGCGAAGGCGGCUCACUGGCUCGAUACUGACGCUGAGGUGCGAAAGCGUGGGGAGCAAACAGGAUUAGAUACCCUUGUAGUCCCAUGA